AGUGAACGCUGGCGGUAGGCCUAACACAUGCGAGUCGAACGGCAGCACAGUAAGAGCUUGCUCUUACGGGUGGCGAGUGGCGGACGGGUGAGGAAUACAUCGGAAUCUACUUUUUCGUGGGGGAUAACGUAGGGAAACUUACGCUAAUACCGCAUACGACCUACGGGUGAAAGCAGGGGAUCUUCGGACCUUGCGCGAUUGAAUGAGCCGAUGUCGGAUUAGCUAGUUGGCGGGGUAAAGGCCCACCAAGGCGACGAUCCGUAGCUGGUCUGAGAGGAUGAUAGGCCACACUAGAACUGAGACACGGUCCAGACUCCUACGGGAGGCAGCAGUGGGGAAUAUUGGACAAUGGUCGCAAGCCUGAUCCAGCCAUACCGCGUGGGUGAAGAAGGCCUUCGGGUUGUAAAGCCCUUUUGUUGGGAAAGAAAAGCAGCAGGUUAAUACCCCGCUGUUCUGACGGUACCCAAAGAAUAAGCACCGGCUAACUUCGUG
rnacentral:rRNA from 1 species